UAGAUCUGCUGCUGCUGCUCUAGCUCUGUCUCUGUCCAGUGUCUAGUAAGUUUGAGGUUGGAUUUUGGAGAAUUUAUUGUUUGUCAAUUUCAAUUGUCAUACAAAUUUGUAUUUUAGGAGAUGGAUGCACCCUCCUUCAGAAGGCGCUGAAAGGAAUACUAAUUAUAGGCCGCUGUACUCCGUAAAAGAACUUAAGGAAGAGCACCUAGUGAGAUAAGUGUAUGUCUGCCAUAUCAUCCGUUAAACAGCCAGAUUUUUGAAGGAAGAAAGAUGUAGCCCCAGCUCUGGACAAAAAUAUUAUGGAGAAGGUUGGCCGCUGUACAGGGCAGCUAUAGUUAUUAUUAUAUGUUGCCUUUUAUUGUUAUGUACUGUUUUUAUACUUUACCAAUAAACCUUAUAUUUAUCUA